rnacentral:rRNA from 1 species
AUAGUUAUAUUCUUGAAACCCAAAGAGUUUGGCGGUAUCUCAGUCUAGUUAGAGGAGCUUGUUCGGUAAUCGAUAAUCCGCGAAAAAUCUUACGCACUUUUGUAAUCAGUUUAUAUACCGUCGUUAUUAGAUAAUACUAAAAAGUAAAUAAUUAUCUAAAUAUAUUUAAAUAUAAUAUAUCAGAUCAAGGUGUAACUUAUGAGUGCGAGUUGAAUGAGCUACAUUUUAGUCUAUAAAAAUGGAUAUUGUUUUUAAA